rnacentral:rRNA from 1 species
GCCAGCCCGCUCAGAACUUAAAGGAAGUUGACGGGGCCCGCACAAGACGGUGGAGCAUGUGGUUUAAUUCGAUGAUACGCGAGGAACCUUACCUGGGCUCAAAUGUAUGUUGACGUAUUCUGAAAGGGAUACUUCUUCGGACAAUAUACAAGGUGCUGCAUGGUUGUCGUCAGCUCGUGCCGUGAGGUGUCGGGUUAAGUCCCAUAACGAGCGCAACCCUAUUGCUAGUUACCAUCAUUAAGUUGGGGACUCUAGCGAGACUGCCAGUGAUAAACUGGAGGAAGGUGGGGAUGACGUCAAAUCAUCAUGCCCCUUAUGACCUGGGCUACAAACGUGAUACAAUGGCUGGAACAAAGGGAUGCGAAGCAGUGAUGUGGAGCGAAACCCAUAAAAACAGUCUCAGUUCGGAUUGAAGUCUGCAACUCGACUUCAUGAAGUCGGAAUCGCUAGUAAUCGCGGAUCAGAACGCCGCGGUGAAUACGUUCUCGGGGUUU